ACUUUGUCUUAUUUCGGAAUAAUUACAAACUAUAUUUAUAGCUAAAACGUAACUUUUAUCAGGCUAUGAUUCUCUAGGCGGGCUUUAUCGUCUACGUUGUUUAGAAGCUUUAACCAAUUAAAAAGCCCCAUUGCUAAUUGAUUGAUGGCAGAUGAAUAAACAGCUUGAAAAAAGUUGAAAAAUAGGUUGGUUUACUUAACGUAAAAAAAUACACACGCAGUACAAAAGCCUUUAGAGGAGUUUGGAAUGACGAUGAAAAAUGCCAUACUUUGUAUACUUUCAAAUAGUUGAAGUUAAAUACCAGAAAAAACGUUUAACGUGAAGUCUACGUGGAAUAUAAAAUAAGUACCUGAUGUGUAUUGCACGUGUAUUUGAAUUUCCUUAUAUAUUCCAGCUUGUUUAUUUUCAAGAACAACACGUUUACAAGCAAAUUCCAGCUGAAAAAACAAAUAUAAAAUUUUAGUUGUUUAUGUCAAAGAAGUUAUAGGUUGAUGACUUUUUUCUUAACUGUUUUUGAAGAAAUUCACUUGAUAGCUAAAUACACAGAAUAAAUAAAUGUUGGAAUCGACAUACCUUGGAGCCUCCAAGGAAUAGAGGAAGAGAUUUGUUUAUAUUAAAAAGCGCUUAGUAUUGUAUUUAUAACUGCUGCUUUUUUGCUUCCCUUUCGUAAUGACAAUCUGCUAAAUUUACAAUUUUCGUGUUUUUCACCGCAUAACAAAGAUAGGCGUUCAAACGCAUGAAAACGAUAUAAAAGGUACAAAAAUAUGGCCAAUGGUUGCAGGUAUCGAGGAGGAUUCGAAUAAAAUAUUCUUGUUGUGAUAAUUCAUAGAGCCCUUACUUUUUUCCAGAAUCUUGGAAAGGGAGAGAGAGUUUUAUAAAGAUUGAUUAACAGAAAAAACAACACAUUCACUUUGCCUGUUACAGACACACGGAACUGGCGUAUUAUUAUAGAAACUAGUCGUUGCCCGUGGGAAAAUCCACGGAGUCGCCCGUCCUUUAUAUUUCCCCGUCGCAACAAAGUGGAGAAAAACACAUCACAUUUGAUAUUGGUGUUUCCGUAACGUCAUUUUCUAACUCAGCGGGAGGUCCGCGCAGACACAGACUAUUAUAAUAGAGAUGGUGGUUUUAUUGUAUAGCAGCGAUACUUACCUGACGAUGUAAGAGUUUUUACUUACAAAAAGCUUCGUGUAUUUUUGUAUGUUCUUGUAUAUAAUAAUAUCUCGCUUCAUAUUU